GUUAAGUGACGAAGCGUAUACGGUGGAUGCCUUGGCAGUUAGAGGCGAUGAAGGACGUGUAAGUCUGCGAAAAGCUGUGGUGAGCCGACAAAAUGCAUUUGAGCCACAGAUGUCCGAAUGGGGAAACCCACCUAUUUAUAGGUAUCGUUAACUGAAUACAUAGGUUAACGAGGCAAACGAGGGGAACUGAAACAUCUAAGUACCCUUAGGAAAAGAAAUCAACCGAGAUUCCCUGAGUAGCGGCGAGCGAAAGGGGAGCAGCCGAUAAGCAAAGUAUUAGUGGAAUCUUCUGGAAAGUUGAGCGAUACCGGGUGAUAGCCCCGUACAUGAAGAUGCUUUGUUUACAUAUUAAGUAGGUCGGGACACGUGUUAUCUUGACUGAAUAUGGGGGGACCAUCCUCCAAGGCUAAAUAC
rnacentral:rRNA from 1 species